rnacentral:rRNA from 1 species
UACGUAGGUGGCAAGCGUUGUCCGGAUUUACUGGGCGUAAAGAGCGCGCAGGCGGUCGUGCAAGUCGCGUGUGAAAGCCCCCGGCUCAACUGGGGAGGGUCACGCGAUACUGUUCGACUUGAAGGCAGGAGAGGGAAGUGGAAUUCCCGGUGUAGUGGUGAAAUGCGUAGAUAUCCGGAGGAAUACCAAAGGCGAAGGCAGUGUCCUGGCUGGCAUCUGACGCUGAGGCGCGAAAGCUAGGGGAGCGAACAGG